rnacentral:rRNA from 1 species
GACGAACGCUGGCGGCGUGCUUAACACAUGCAAGUCGAACGGUAAGGCCCCAGCUUGCUGGGGUACACGAGUGGCGAACGGGUGAGUAACACGUGGGUGACCUGCCCCGCACUUCGGGAUAAGCCUGGGAAACUGGGCCUAAUACCGGAUAGGACCGCACCGUGAGGGUGUGGUGGAAAGUGUUUCGGUGUGGGAUGGGCCCGCGGCCUAUCAGCUUGUUGGUGGGGUAAUGGCCUACCAAGGCGGCGACGGGUAGCCGGCCUGAGAGGGUGGACGGCCACAUUGGGACUGAGACACGGCCCAGACUCCUACGGGAGGCAGCAGUGGGGAAUAUUGCACAAUGGGCGGAAGCCUGAUGCAGCGACGCCGCGUGGGGGAUGACGGCCUUCGGGUUGUAAACUCCUUUCACCAUCGACGAAGGUUUUCUGACGGUAGAUGGAGAAGAAGCACCGGCUAACUACGUG